rnacentral:rRNA from 1 species
CCUACGGGAGACAGCAGUGAGGAAUAUUGGUCAAUGGACGAGAGUCUGAACCAGCCAAGUAGCGUGAAGGAUGACUGCCCUAUGGGUUGUAAACUUCUUUUAUAUGGGAAUAAAACGUUCCACGUGUGGGAUUUUGUAUGUACCAUAUGAAUAAGGAUCGGCUAACUCCGUGCCAGCAGCCGCGGUAAUACGGAGGAUCCGAGCGUUAUCCGGAUUUAUUGGGUUUAAAGGGAGCGUAGGUGGAUUGUUAAGUCAGUUGUGAAAGUUUGCGGCUCAACCGUAAAAUUGCAGUUGAAACUGGCAGUCUUGAGUACAGUAGAGGUGAGCGGAAUUCGUGGUGUAGCGGUGAAAUGCUUAGAUAUCACGAAGAACUCCGAUUGCGAAGGCAGUUCACUGGACUGCAACUGACACUGAGGCUCGAAAGUGUGGGUAUCAAACAGGAUUAGAUACCCGAGUAGUC